GUGUUCUCCUUGGCAGCUCAUAAACUAAGAUUGGAAUGAUACAGAGAUUAGCAUGGCCCCUGUGCAAGGAUGACAUGUAAAUUUGUGAAGUAUUUCAUAUUUUU
ensembl:snRNA U6 U6 spliceosomal RNA